rnacentral:rRNA from 1 species
UACGAAGGGGGCUAGCGUUGUUCGGAAUUACUGGGCGUAAAGGGUUCGUAGGUGGUGCGGCAAGUUGGAAGUGAAAUCUCUGGGCUUAACCUAGAGGCUGCUUUCAAGACUGCCGUGCUCGAGUGCGGGAGAGGCCAGUGGAAUUGCAGGUGUAGCGGUGAAAUGCGUAGAUAUCUGCAGGAACACCCGUGGCGAAGGCGGCUGGCUGGACCGCAACUGACACUGAGGAACGAAAGCUAGGGGAGCAAACAGG